UGGGGAAUCUUCCGCAAUGGGCGAAAGCCUGACGGAGCAACGCCGCGUGAGUGAAGACGGCCUUCGGGUUGUAAAGCUCUGUUAUACGGGACGAAUAAUCUUGUGGUUAAUACCCAUGAGAAGUGACGGUACCGUAAGAGAAAGCCACGGCUAACUACGUGCCAGCAGCCGCGGUAAUACGUAGGUGGCAAGCGUUGUCCGGAAUUAUUGGGCGUAAAGGGCGCGCAGGCGGCUUCUUAAGUCUGUCUUAAAAGUGCGGGGCUUAACCCCGUGAUGGGAUGGAAACUGGGAAGCUCAGAGUAUCGGAGAGGAAAGCGGAAUUCCUAGUGUAGCGGUGAAAUGCGUAGAUAUUAGGAGGAACACCAGUGGCGAAAGCGGCUUUCUGGACGAAAACUGACGCUGAGGCGCGAAAGCCAGGGGAGCGAACGGG
rnacentral:rRNA from 1 species